rnacentral:rRNA from 1 species
ACUCCUACGGGAGGCAGCAGUGGGGAAUCUUAGACAAUGGGCGCAAGCCUGAUCUAGCCAUGCCGCGUGAGUGAAGAAGGCCCUAGGGUCGUAAAACUCUUUCGCCAGGGAUGAUAAUGACAGUACCUGGUAAAGAAACCCCGGCUAACUCCGUGCCAGCAGCCGCGGUAAUACGGAGGGGGUUAGCGUUGUUCGGAAUUACUGGGGCGUAAAGCGUACGUAGGCGGAUUAGUCAGUCAGAGGUGAAAUCCCAGGGGCUCAACCCUGGAACUGCCUUUUGAUACUGCUAGUCUUGAGUUCGAGAGAGGUGAGUGGAAUUCCAAGUGUAGAGGUGAAAUUCGUAGAUAUUUGGAGGAACACCAGUGGCGAAGGCGGCUCACUGGCUCGAUACUGACGCUGAGGUACGAAAGUGUGGGGAGCAAACAGGAUUAGAUACCCUGGUAGGAUAGCG